rnacentral:sRNA from 1 species
UCUUUAAUUUAUAUUUUUUGAUCGCUAAGUUGUUCGUUUGCAUGUCGCUGGAUCCAGCGAUCAAAAGUAUCGACUAAUCGCUAAAACCAGCGACUGAUCGCUAAAAAUUUCAGCGACCAAAAAUUGCGGUCGCUGAUCGCUGGCGAUUAUCGCUAUUUUUGGUCGCUGAACCAGCGACAGGCAAACGAACAACUUUUGGUCGUUGUCGCUGGUUUCAGUCGCCAGCGACAAGCAAACGAACAGGGCCUAAAUUCUAUUAUAACCGGAGAUAUUCCAAACUCUAAAGGCGAGGGUUCUUCUCCAGCGGCAAAAUUUAUGGACAAUGUUGUCUACAGAUUGUGUUUCAAGGGUUUGGUGAAUUAUGAGGCGGUUGCGGACGAUGUAGAAAAGGCAGUGAAGGCUGGAUUU